rnacentral:rRNA from 1 species
GGGUUGUGAGGUUAAGCGACUAAGCGUACACGGUGGAUGCCUAGGCAAUCAGAGGCGAUGAAGGACGUGCUAAUCUGCGAAAAGCGUCGGUAAGGUGAUAUGAACCGUUAUAACCGACGAUGUCCGAAUGGGGAAACCCAGUGCAAUUCGUUGCACUAUCGUUUGAUGAAUCCAUAGUCAAACGAGGCGAACCGGGGGAACUGAAACAUCUCAGUACCCCGAGGAAAAGAAAUCAACCGAGAUUCCCCUAGUAGCGGCGAGCGAACGGGGAGCAGCCCAGAGUCUUAAUCAGUAUCAGCAUCAGGAGAACGGUCUGGAAAGGCCGGCAAUAAAGGGUGAUAGCCCCGUAUCCGAAGGUGUUGGUGUUGUGAACUCGAUGAGUAGGGCGGGACACGUGUUAUCCUGUCUGAAUAUGGGGGGACCAUCCUCCAAGGCUAAAUACUCCUGAUUGACCGAUAGUGAACCAGUACCGUGAGGGAAAGGCGAAAAGAACCCCGGCGAGGGGAGUGAAAUAGAACCUGAAACCGUGUACGUACAAGCAGUGGGAGCCUUGAUUUAUCAGGGUGACUGCGUACCUUUUGUAUAAUGGGUCAGCGACUUAUAUUCUGUAGCAAGGUUAACCGAAUAGGGGAGCCGUAGGGAAACCGAGUCUUAACUGGGCGAAUGAGUUGCAGGGUAUAGACCCGAAACCCGGUGAUCUAGCCAUGGGCAGGUUGAAGGUUGGGUAACACUAACUGGAGGACCGAACCGACUAAUGUUGAAAAAUUAGCGGAUGACUUGUGGCUGGGGGUGAAAGGCCAAUCAAACCGGGAGAUAGCUGGUUCUCCCCGAAAGCUAUUUAGGUAGCGCCUCGUGAACUCAUCUUCGGGGGUAGAGCACUGUUUCGGCUAGGGGGUCAUCCCGACUUACCAACCCGAUGCAAACUACGAAUACCGAAGAAUGUUAUCACGGGAGACACACGGCGGGUGCUAACGUUCGUCGUGAAGAGGGAAACAACCCAGACCGCCAGCUAAGGUCCCAAAGUCAUGGUUAAGUGGGAAACGAAGUGGGAAGGCUCAGACAGCCAGGAUGUUGGCUUAGAAGCAGCCAUCAUUUAAAGAAAGCGUAAUAGCUCACUGGUCGAGUCGGCCUGCGCGGAAGAUGUAACGGGGCUAAACCAUGCACCGAAGCUGCGGCAGCGACAUGUAAAUGUUGUUGGGUAGGGGAGCGUUCUGUAAGCCUGUGAAGGUGUGCUGCGAGGCAUGCUGGAGGUAUCAGAAGUGCGAAUGCUGACAUAAGUAACGAUAAUGCGGGUGAAAAACCCGCACGCCGGAAGACCAAGGGUUCCUGUCCAACGUUAAUCGGGGCAGGGUGAGUCGACCCCUAAGGCGAGGCAGAAAUGCGUAGUCGAUGGGAAACAGGUUAAUAUUCCUGUACUGGUGAUAAUUGCGAUGGGGGGACGGAGAAGGCUAGGCUGGCCGGGCGACGGUUGUCCCGGUUUAAGGAUGUAGGUGGGUGAAUUAGGCAAAUCCGGUUCGCUAUACACUGAGGUCUGAUGACGAGUCACUACGGUGGCGAAGUAGCUCAUGCCCCGCUUCCAGGAAAAGCCUCUAAGCUCUAGAUUAUCAUUAAUCGUACCCCAAACCGACACAGGUGGUCAGGUAGAGAAUACUCAGGCGCUUGAGAGAACUCGGGUGAAGGAACUAGGCAAAAUGGUGCCGUAACUUCGGGAGAAGGCACGCUGGCAUUAGGUGAAGUGGUUUACCCAUGGAGCUGAAGCCAGUCGCAGAUACCAGCUGGCUGCAACUGUUUAUUAAAAACACAGCACUGUGCAAACACGAAAGUGGACGUAUACGGUGUGACGCCUGCCCGGUGCUGGAAGGUUAAUUGAUGGGGUUAUCCGUAAGGAGAAGCUCUUGAUCGAAGCCCCAGUAAACGGCGGCCGUAACUAUAACGGUCCUAAGGUAGCGAAAUUCCUUGUCGGGUAAGUUCCGACCUGCACGAAUGGCGUAAUGAUGGCCAGGCUGUCUCCACCCGAGACUCAGUGAAAUUGAACUCGCUGUGAAGAUGCAGUGUACCCGCGGCAAGACGGAAAGACCCCGUGAACCUUUACUAUAGCUUGACACUGAACAUUGAGCCUUGAUGUGUAGGAUAGGUGGGAGGCUUUGAAGUGUGGACGCCAGUCUGCAUGGAGCCAACCUUGAAAUACCACCCUUUAAUGUUUGAUGUUCUAACGUUGCCCCAUAAUCUGGGGUGCGGACAGUGUCUGGUGGGUAGUUUGACUGGGGCGGUCUCCUCCCAAAGCGUAACGGAGGAGCACGAAGGUUGGCUAAGCAUGGUCGGACAUCAUGCGGUUAGUGCAAAGGCAUAAGCCAGCUUGACUGCGAGAGUGACGGCUCGAGCAGGUACGAAAGUAGGUCUUAGUGAUCCGGUGGUUCUGAAUGGAAGGGCCAUCGCUCAACGGAUAAAAGGUACUCCGGGGAUAACAGGCUGAUACCGCCCAAGAGUUCAUAUCGACGGCGGUGUUUGGCACCUCGAUGUCGGCUCAUCACAUCCUGGGGCUGAAGUAGGUCCCAAGGGUAUGGCUGUUCGCCAUUUAAAGUGGUACGCGAGCUGGGUUUAGAACGUCGUGAGACAGUUCGGUCCCUAUCUGCCGUGGGCGUUGGAAGAUUGAAAGGGGCUGCUCCUAGUACGAGAGGACCGGAGUGGACGCACCGCUGGUGUUCGGGUUGUCAUGCCAAUGGCACUGCCCGGUAGCUAAGUGCGGAAGAGAUAACCGCUGAAAGCAUCUAAGCGGGAAACUUGCCUUGAGAUGAGUCUUCCCUGACUCUUUAAGGGUCCUAAAGGAACGUUUAAGACGAAGACGUUGAUAGGCUGGGUGUGUAAGCGUAGCGAUACGUUGAGCUAACCAGUACUAAUGAACCGUGAGGCUUAACCUGACAACACCGAAGGUGUUUUAG